GCAAGGGAAGAAUAGUGGCAGACGGGUGAGUAACACGUAAGUAACCUGCCCUUAAGUGGGGAAUAACUUCGGGAAACCGAGGCUAAUACCGCAUGUGAUGGUUUUCUGAUGGGAAAAAUCAUUAAAGCCGUAAGGCGCUUGAGGAGGGGCUUGCGGCCGAUUAGCUUGUUGGUGGGGUAAUAGCCUACCAAGGCUACGAUCGGUAGCUGGUCUGAGAGGACGAUCAGCCACACUGGGACUGAGAUACGGCCCAGGACUCCUACGGGAGGCAGCAGCAAGGAAUUUUGGGCAAUGGGGCGAAAGCCUGACCCAGCAACACCGCGGUGGGGGAUGACGGCCCUCGGGUUGUAAACCCCUUUUCUCAGGGAAGAAUAAUGACGGUACCUGAGGAAUAAGCUUCGGCGAACUACGUGCCAGCAGCCGC
rnacentral:rRNA from 1 species